CCUACGGGAGGCAGCAGUAGGGAAUAUUGCUCAAUGGGGGAAACCCUGAAGCAGCAACGCCGCGUGGAGGAUGAAGGUUUUCGGAUUGUAAAAUCCUUUUUUUAGAGAAGUUAAUGACGGUAUCUAACGAAUAAGCACUGUCCAACUCCGUGCCAGCAGCCGCGGUAAUACGGCGGGUGCAAGCGUUAUACGGAAUCACUGGGCGUAAAGAGCGCGUAGGCGGUCUAGCAAGUCAGAGGUGAAAUCCUUUGGCUUAACCAUAGAAUUGCAUUUGAAACUGUUAUUCUAGAGUAUGUGAGAGGUAGGUGGAAUGCUUGGUGUAGGGGUAAAAUCCGUAGAUAUCAAGAGGAAUACUCAUUGCGAAGGCGACCUGCUAGAACAUAACUGACGCUGAUGCGCGAAAGCGUGGGGAGCAAACAGGAUUAGAUACCCCAGUAGUC
rnacentral:rRNA from 1 species